GAUGAACGCUAGCGAUAGGCUUAACACAUGCAAGUCGAGGGGCAGCGAGGGUAGCAAUACCUGUCGGCGACCGGCGCACGGGUGAGUAACGCGUAUGUAACCUGCCCGCAACAGGGGGAUAACCCGGCGAAAGUCGGACUAAUACCGCAUAAAACAGGGGUCCCGCAUGGGAAUAUUUGUUAAAGAUUUAUCGGUUGCGGAUGGGCAUGCGUACCAUUAGGUAGUUGGUGAGGUAACGGCUCACCAAGCCUUCGAUGGUUAGGGGUUCUGAGAGGAAGGUCCCCCACACUGGUACUGAGACACGGACCAGACUCCUACGGGAGGCAGCAGUGAAGAAUAUUGGUCAAUGGGCGAGAGCCUGAACCAGCCAAGUCGCGUGAAGGAUGACUGCCCUAUGGGUUGUAAACUUCUUUUACAAGGGAAUAAAAUGAGAUACGUGUAUUUUAUUGCAUGUACCUUGGGAAUAAGCAUCGGCUAACUCCGUG
rnacentral:rRNA from 1 species